GCAUUACUGAAGAGUCCCAAACUAGGACGAAACAGUUGUCCAGUAC
rnacentral:hammerhead_ribozyme from 1 species